CGGAUGGGAACUUUAAGGAUACUGCCAGUGACAAACUGGAGGAAGGCGGGGACGACGUCAAGUCAUCAUGGCCCUUACGGCCAGGGCUACACACGUGCUACAAUGGUCGGUACAAAGGGUUGCUACACAGCGAUGUGAUGCUAAUCUCAAAAAGCCGAUCGUAGUCCGGAUUGGAGUCUGCAACUCGACUCCAUGAAGUCGGAAUCGCUAGUAAUCGCGGAUCAGAAUGCCGCGGUGAAUACGUUCCCGGGCCUUGUACACACCGCCCGUCACACCAUGGGAGUUUGUUGCACCAGAAGUAGCUAGCCUAACUGCAAAGAGGGCGGUUACCACGGUGUGGCCGAUGACUGGGGUGAAGUCGUAACAAGGUAGCCGUAGGGGAACCUGCGGCUGGAUCACCUCCUUAA
rnacentral:rRNA from 1 species